UGACUUUGUCUUCAAGAACAUUAAGCCUUUGAAGGAUAGAGUUUACUCUGCCUAUCUGUAUACUGGCUGAGAGACCCUUACCGAGUAACAGAUAAACAUAUCUCCGAGGAAAAUGUUUUGAAGCGGGUUCAAAUGAUGUUGAGGGGUGUCAUUGCGAGUGUCGACGCUCCUCGCUCUUACUCUGCUUGGAACUUUCCCCCUAUGGUAAGUUACAACUAUUUGGACUUUGUUAUGUCAAAUCUUUAUAUGCCCUAUACUCACUGUAAUAGAUUGUUGCUGUAGAAUUCUUUUUCUAAGUUUGUGUCCAACCCACCCAUCCGAGGGGAGGAUGGGAAUCCAGGCCAUAGAGUGCGACCUUCGCCGGAUGAAGUAGAGGCCAUCCUUGCUACGCACAGGAAUCUGCCCAAAGAGGAAAACAAACCCACUUCUUGAUGCAACCUGCUGAUGACGAUUCUAAAAUUUAUGUUGUUCUCGGCAUGCUGGCUGGAGAGUCGUUCGAAUCAGUGUGACUUGAGCCGGGGAGUAGGGCUCCCGAGCAGUCGGGCGUAGGGUUAAGAGAAUUAGUAACCCCGAAGGUGCAUGUCGCAAGAGAUCAUGCCAAACAGACUCUGAGUCUGAGUCUACCGAAGUGAAGAAGAAAAAGAAAAGGUUUCAUCGUUCGUCGGACCUGGAGCUAGUGACUGCCCCGGUCGCGCCAAGUCUUGAUGACAAUAUGGUGGGUGCUGAUUUGGAGGAUGUCGUGGAAGGUUUUAGUGGUGUGAGGACUGACAGGUAUGUGGUGGAGGAAGGGGAUGAUGAUGAUGAAGAAGAAACACUUCCCCUGGUCCGUCGGGAACGGUGAAGUAAAGCUUGUGGUGACAAUUCAAGCCUUGCUUCUGCGGGGAUGAUGAAUUUCUGAGGUCUGACUAUGUCUGCCAUCGACGAUGUGCUGAAAGAUGCUAUUCCUGAGGACCUUUUGCUUGAAUUUGCUGAACUCAGAGUCGUCGACGUCCGUUUAGAGUGCACGGAUGAAGUGUCUUCUGCUGGCCUGCUGGCCGGGCUAGAGGUAAGCCUGUCCGUCUGUCAUGGUUCUUUAGCCCCAAGGGUGCUCUAGCUUCCGUGGUUGCUCCAGCCCCCGAGGAUCCUUCAGCCAGUUCUCCCUUCGCUGCUGCAUUGGGUGUUCAUGUGGGGUCGCCAAUGACCCAGACUAAUGAUGUUGUGGUGACAAGUUCUGUUAUGCUCAUUGGUCCAGCCGGCCCGACCACCUUAGAGGUUGGUGGUCAUGGUACUGAAGACCUAAUGGGUGCUCCUGUCGCUGAAAUCCAAAUGGCUAAAUCUAGAGUUGAGAUCCCAAUGAGUGUUGCACUUAGCCAAGAUGAAUCAGUUCCUUCAAUGCUUGACCCUGCUCAUAAUGCAGUGUCCGUUAAUGUCCUUUCUUCUAGGAGCGCGUCGACGCUUCUGGCUUUGGGGUUUCCUUUGAUUUGGUCCAAUUUACAUGUAUUUGCGUUCCAUGCCACCUUAUUUUUACCAAUGGGUGUUCCCUUUGCAGACUUCUGCAUCCAUAGGAUGUCCUGGACUUGGUGGUUACUCAGCUGGAAGCACGUGGUGCUCUAGUGCCCUAGCAGAUUUCUUCCUUGUCGCGGUGGAACCCUCUUUCUCUUUAGAAGCAAAUAGACGAUCUAAAAUCUGCUAACGCUGGUGAGUUUGUUGAUGAUACUUCCUGCCGAUUUUGCUUUCUGUUUGUACCACAAAUUGUUGCUAGUCAUUUCUUCAGUUUUGACUUGGCGGUGCUCUGAUGCUGAGGAGAGGUGUGCUCGAGGUUAGGCAGAGCUUGAUCAAGUGACUAUGUUUCUUGAUGGUGCCCACUCCAUGAACUCUUCCUUGCAGUCAAAGUUUGAUUUGGAUUAGCUUCUAUAGUAGAGUUAAAAUCUUUUAUUAAAAGAGUUAUAGUGCAACAUUAUAACAAUUUGUUAGGGCAUUUCGUUUCAGCGACUAAAAGUAUACGUGUACAUUCGGGUUAUCCAACUCGGUCCGGUCCAAGCCCAAAAAGCCGAACACGUUUAAUUUUGGGUCGACCAGCCCAUAAAUAAUUUCGGGCCAUGUUAGGUCGGUCCACGGGCUGAGCUCUCGGCCUACGGCAAAACACUUUAUUGGCUAAACGUGUCGAUCUCAUUUCGGGUGACCCAAAAUAAAAAAACUAAAAUACACAUCAAAGCUUGAAAUACAUAUUAAAUCCCAAAAUACAUAUCAAAGCACGAAAUACAUGUCAAAGUCUGAAAUACACAUUAGAGCCCGAAAUUGGAAACAGAUAAUCAGAUAUGAUCAGUAAAACAAUAAAAGAGAAGACAAAUAAAUUUUGACCUAAUAAAACUUAAUAAUUCUAUUAAGUUAGAGUUGUGCAAUGGCUGCCACGUAAAAAAACCCUUUGACCAGAAAGAAAAAAGAGUACCACUAGCUCAAGUUCAAAAGUUUAGUUUAUUGUCCAUUGUUCAUAGUAAAAGUAAAAAAUACAUCACAUCUACCAAUUUGAAGCUACCAAAGAAACACCUAACUCGGACCAACGCCAGCUUCACAUUCUUCAUCCAAAUAUAUCUAUCCUUGUAGUGUUCUUUCAUAUCAUUGUUUGCAAUGUUAUGCUGCUCCUGACUCUCUCCUAGUUGUCAAUCUCUACUACUCUUAAGAAUGGAGCGUAGGCGUCCACAUGGUGCGCGUUCUGCCUCCGACAUCCUCCCCUUCGCUCCGCUCCCUGAAGUCGUGAUCUAAGCCGCCAUCAACACCCUCUUCCCCCUCCGGUCCCCUCCGCGAUCUGAUUCCUCGGCAGCCGGCAUUCCCAGCCCCCAAAAUCCCAUUUCCCUCUCCCACACCACGCGCUGCGCCCGCCUGAUUCCGCCCGCCAGCCAUGCCCGCAGAUCUCGCUUCGACGCCCUUAUUCCGUCGUAUGAAAGAUCACCGCCCCGCCUUCCAUCGUCGCCCCAUGCCACGCUCCCCUUCCAUCCUCGCUCACUUCCAGCCGCCCCAUAAUUCCCAGUUGAAGGAGCCGUCCAAGAACCGGGAACCCCAUCACCGGAUCAGGAGCAGCCGUGUCGAACCUGACUUUGGACGACGCCGACGGGGACCACCCUCCCUCCGCAUCGAAGCCGAUGAGCCUCUGGUGGUGGUGUCCACGGUCGAUUGACCGAUUGAGCCACCGAACGGCACCAAUCGAGUGGCAUUAGCCUCGACCUGAAGCACACCUGGCCGGAAUCCAAAGGAUAUCGUGCCCCCGCCCCGCAUCGCGCGAUGCUCAUUGCUGAGCUCCCGAUGACCCACCUCCCCGGAGAGGACAUCCUCUUCUGCAUCGACAUCGACCUCGAGGUCCACGCCAACAUGAAGUACGCUGCCGUAGCGUCCUCGGAUCCACGUCCACUGCGUCGCCGCAGUCCGUAGGAGGUCGUCGCCGCCGAUCAAGCUGCUGCCACCAACGACAGCGAGGCAGCCACGCUCCGCAGCGAGGUCGAGCGCCUCGAGGGUCUCCUCGCCGCGGAGAAGGCUAGCCAUGAGGAGGAGAUGCGCAGGGGUGCACAGCUCGGGGACCAGCUGCAGACCGUGUACCAGGAGAAGGCCGCCCUCGAGGAGGAGAUCGAGACCCUGAAGGGUUCCGCCACUGCCGAGGGCAAGGGCGUGGAAGAGGGAUGUGAUUCUGUUGCUGCUAGGGCCAGGACGCCUAAGGAUUAGGGCGUGGUGCCUCCCGCACUGGUCCGCGGCUGCUGGAGCAGCUGCCACGGCUGGCAUCGUGGUGGUCUUGUUUAACCUCAAGAGGUAAUCUGGUGGUCCGAUGCGCGGAAGUUUUGAUCUGCUGCUAUGGCCUAUAUGAGAAUAGGCCUACAUGUAUGGCAAGUACCUUUACUUUCUAAAGUUUUCAAUGGUAAUAAGAGUCGUGAACACAAACAUGAGGUAUAAUUGAGUUCUUGUCUGAUCUUUUGAGUUGUACCUGAUCUUUUGAGUUCUUGUCUUGGUUCGUUCUUGAUUCUUGGACGAGGUGGGAUUUGGAGAGCCGAGGGCGGCGCGGCAGCGGCGGGUUUCUCGGUAAAUCUCGGUUCUUGAUGAGUUAUUGAGUUGAGGUUUUGAUAUUGGGAAGCGCUAGAUUAAUGUUUCCGUGAGUAAUUCCUUUCGCACGGUUGCAUUUGUUGAUGUUUAGGUCGGACUAGAUUGUUUCCAUCGAGAUGGUGGGCGGCGGAGGGCAUUCGUCGAUGGACCACCCUGGCGCCAAGGACCUCGAGCGCGGCGAGUUGCGCCGUGGCGCGCCUGAGUUUGCGGACGGCGAUGAUGGAGACGGGGAAGAAAGCCAGUACUUCUCGGACGCGGAGGACCGGUCGUGGACGUCGCACUCGCGCCACGAUUCCACCGCCUACGAGGACUACGUCUUGCCGUGCGUGUCCGCCCGCGCGAGCUCCGUCGACGCCGAUGCCGACGGCGAGGCCGUCAGACAACACUGCAGGAAGUCAUCGUGCGUGUCAGAGGGCUCGCUGGACGACGUUGACCUAGAGGCCGGACUGAGCGAGAUCAUCAAGGCCAGCCCUAAGAAGGCCGAACAGAACUGUCGCAUUUGCCACCUUGGCCUGGAGAGCGCGGUGGCCGAGUCCGGUGCCGACAUCACGCUCGGCUGCUCCUGCAAGGGGGACUUAUCCUACGCCCACAAGCAGUGCGUCGACACAUGGUUCAAGAUCAGAGGCAACAAGUAAGUCCCAGUCCAUUGAACCCUCGGCGAUUCAGUCCAGUUCAAUUCAAUUAGUUCAAUGUGCAAGCUCGUCAUGUUUUUUUCCUUCUGAAAUUGGCCUCCUACUUUUAAGUUGGAGAGACACGAUGCAGACGUAACAUCAAGCGCACACUAACUAACGACCGCCCACCCACCCUUCUGAAUGUACUAAAAUUGGCAACAUGAGAGCCAUCAUAUGCAUUGCCUCUUGAAGUCUUGAUGGAUCGAAUCCAAAACAGUAGGAGUUGUCCUUGACUGAAUUAACAUCUAUUGGUAUCACUAGAUAAAGAUGAAUCCAAACAGAGUAACAAUAAGCUUAAGGCAGAAAUCAGAUUAUGAGUGCUUUGAAAUGGUAGACUAAUCACUUUGUGAUCCAUUUUCUACACAACAAGUGAAAGGGAAUUAGGCUUACACCUAGUUCCUAAAUAAUUUUGGUGGUUGAAUUGCCCAACACAAAUAAUUGGACUAACUAGUUUGCUCUAGUGUACAAAUUAUACAGGUGCCAAAGGUUCACACUUAGCCAAUAAAAAGAUCAAGUUUUGGAUUCAACAAAGGAGCAAAGGGGCAACCGAAGGCACCUCUGGUCUGGGGGCACCGGACAGUGUCCGGUGCACCACCGGACAGUGUCCGGUGCACCAGAGGACUCCAACUCGAACUCGUCACCUUCGGGAAUCUCCAGAGGCACUCACGCUAUAAUUCACCGGACUGUCCGGUGUACACCGGACAGUGUUCGGUGCUCCAAGGAAGAGCCGCCUCAGGAACUCGCCAGCCUCGGGAAAUCGCAACGGCUGCUCCGCUAUAAUUCACCGGAUUGUUCGGUGUACACCGGACUGUCCGGUGAACCAGCAGAGCAACGGCUACUUCGCGCUAACGGUCACCUGCAGGCACAUUCAAUGCGCGCCAGAAGCGCGCAGAAGUCAGGCACGCCCAUACUGGCGCACCGGACAUUGAACAGUACAUGUCCGGUGUGCACCGGACAUCCAGGCGGGCCCAGAAGACAGAGCUCCAACGGACGAAUCCCAACGGCAUUUGGUGACGUGGCUGGCGCACCGGACAUGUCCGGUGUGCACCGGACUGUCCGGUGCACCAUACGACAGACGGCCUCCACCAACGGUCAUGUUUGGUGGUUGGGGCUAUAAAUACCCCAACCACCCCACCAUUCAUUGCAUCCAAGUUUUCCAGCUUCCAACCACUAUACAAGAGCUAGCAUUCAUUGCAAAGCACACCAAAAGAGAUCAAAUCCUCUCCCAACUCCACACAAAGCUUUAGUGACUAGAGAGAGUGAUUUGUAGUGUUCAUUUGAGCUCUUGCGCUUGGAUCGCAUUCUUUUCUUUCGCAUUCUUUCUUGUGAUCAAACACUCACUUGUAAUUGAGGCAAGAGACACCAAUUGUGUGGUGGUCCUUGCGGGAAGUUUGAUUCCCAAGUGAUUUGAGAAGAGAAGCUCACUCGGUCCGAGGGACCGUUUGAGAGAGGGAAAGGGUUGAAAAAGACCCGGCCUUUGUGGCCUCCUCAACGGGGAGUAGGUUUGCAAGAACCGAACCUCGGUAAAACAAAUCUGUGUGUCUCACUUCUUAUUUGCUUGAGAUUUGUUUUGCACCCUCUCUCGCGGACUCGGUUUUAUUUCUAACACUAACCCAGCUUGUAGUUGUGUUUAUAUUUGUAAAUUUCAGUUUCGCCCUAUUCACCCCCCCUCUAGGCGACUAUCAAUUGGUAUCAGAGCCCAGUGCUUCAUUAGAGCCUAACCGCUCGAAGUGAUGUCGGGAGAUCAUGCCAAGAAGGAGAUGGAGACCGGCGAAAAGCCCACUACAAGCCACGGGAGCACUUCAUCGGAAGAGUCCCGCACCAAGAGGAAGGAGAAGAAAGACUCCUCCAAAGGGAAGGAGAAGAAGAAGGACUCCUCCAAAGGGAAGGAGAAGAAAUCUUCUUCACACAAAGAGAAGAAGGAAAAAUCCUCUUCUCACAAGCCUCGUCGGAGUGGGGACAAGAAAAAGAAGAUGAGGAAAGUGGUCUACUACGAGACCGACUCUUCAUCAACAUCCACCUCCGGCUCCGACGCGGCGUCCGUCACUUCUAAGCGCCAAGAGCGCAAGAAGUAUAGUAAGAUUCCCCUACGCUACCCUCGCAUUUCUAAACAUACACCUCUACUUUCCGUCCCAUUAGGCAAACCACCAACAUUUGAUGGUGAAGAUUAUGCUAGGUGGAGUGAUUUAAUGCGAUUUCAUCUAACCUCACUCCACAAAAGUAUAUGGGAUGUCGUUGAGUUUGGUGCACAGGUACCAUCCGUAGGGGAUGAAGACUAUGAUAAGGAUGAGGUGGCCCAAAUCGAGCACUUCAACUCUCAAGCAACAACAAUACUCCUCGCCUCUCUAAGUAGAGAGGAGUAUAACAAAGUACAAGGGUUGAAGAGCGCCAAGGAGGUUUGGGAUGUGCUCAAAACCGCACACGAAGGAGAUGAGCUCACAAAGAUCACCAAGCGGGAGACGAUCGAGGGGGAGCUCGGUCGGUUCCGGCUUCACAAAGGGGAGGAGCCACAAAACAUGUACAACCGGCUCAAGACCUUGGUGAAUCAAGUGCGCAACCUCGGGAGCAAGAAAUGGGAUGACCACGAAAUGGUUAAGAUUAUUCUAAGAUCUCUUAUUUUUCUUAACCCUACUCAAGUACAAUUAAUUCGUGGCAACCCAAGAUAUACACUAAUGACCCCCGAGGAAGUAAUCAGGAAUUUUGUGAGUUUUGAGUGCAUGAUCGAAGGCUCGAGGAAGAUCAACGAGCUUGAUGAUCCCUCCACAUCCGAAGCUCAACCCGUCGCAUUCAAGGCGACGAAGGAAAAGAAGGAGGAGUCUACACCAAGUAGACAACCAAUCGACGCCUCCAAGCUCGACAAUGAGGAAAUGGCGCUCGUCAUCAAGAGCUUCCGUCAAAUCCUCAAACAAAGGAGGGGGAAAGACUACAAGUCCCGCUCCAAGAAGGUUUGCUACAAGUGUGGUAAGCCCGGUCACUUUAUAGCUAAAUGUCCAUUAUCAAGUGAUAGUGAUAGGGGCGACGACAAGAAGGGGAGAAGAAAGGAGAAGAAGAGGUACUACAAGAAGAAGGGCGGCGAUGCCCAUGUUUGUCGGGAGUGGGACUCCGACGAAAGCUCUAGCGACUCCUCCGACGACGAGGACGCCGCCAACAUCGCCGUCACCAAGGGACUUCUCUUCCCAAACGUCGGCCACAAGUGCCUCAUGGCAAAGGACGGCAAGAGAAAGAAGGUUAAAUCAAAAUCCUCCACUAAAUAUGAAUCUUCUAGUGAUGAUAAUGCUAGUGAUGAGGAAGAUAAUUUGCGUACCCUUUUUGCCAACCUUAACAUGAAACAAAAAGAAAAAUUAAAUGAAUUAAUUAGUGCUAUUCAUGAAAAGGAUGACCUUUUGGAUUCCCAAGCGGACUUUCUAAUUAAGGAAAAUAAGAAACAUGUUAAGGUUAAGAAUGCUUAUGCUCUAGAGGUAGAAAAAUGUGAAAAAUUAUCUAGUGAGCUAAGCACAUGCCAUGACACUAUUGCCAACCUUAGAAAUGAAAAUGCCAAAUUAAUUGCUAAGGUUGAUUCUCAUGUUUGUAAUGUCUCAACUUCCAAUUCUAGAGAUGAUGAUGUUGAUUUACUUGCUAGAAUUGAUGAGUUGAAUGUUUCUCUUGCUAGCCUUAGAAAUGAAAAUGAAAAAUUGCAUGCUAAGGCUAAAGAUUUUGAUGUUUGCAAUGUUACUAUUUCUAACCUUAGUAGUGAAAACGAUAUAUUACAUGCUAAGGUUGUAGAAUUAAAAUCUUGCAAACCCUCUACAUCUAUCAUUGAGCAUGUAUCUAUUUGUACUAGAUGUAGAGAUGUUGAUAUUAAUGCUAUUCAUGAUCACAUGUCCUUAAUUAAACAACAAAAUGAUCAUAUAGCAAAAUUAGAUGCUAAAAUUGCCGAGCAUAACCUAGAAAAUGAAAAUUUUAAAUUUGCUCGUAGUAUGCUUUAUAAUGGGAGACGCCCUGGCAUCAAGGAUGGCAUUGGCUUCCGAAGGGGAGACAAUGUCAAACUUAAUGCCCCUCCUAAAAGGUUGUCCAACUUUGUUAAGGGCAAGGCUCCCAUGCCUCGGGAUAACGAGGGUUACAUUUUAUACCCUGCCGGUUAUCCCGAGGACAAAAUUAGGAGAAUUCAUUCUAGGAAGUCUCACUCUGGCCCCAACCAUGCUUUUAUGUAUAAGGGUGAGACAUCUAGCUCUAGGCAACCAACCCGUGCUAAGUUGCCUAAGAAGAAAACUCCUAGUGCAUCAAAUGAACAUAGUCUUUCAUUUAAAACUUUUGAUGCAUCUUAUGUUUUGACUAAUAAAUCCGGCAAGGUAGUUGCCAAAUAUGUUGGGGGCAAGCACAAGGGGUCAAAGACUUGUGUUUGGGUACCCAAAGUUCUUGUGUCUAAUGCCAAAGGACCCAAAACCAUUUGGGUACCUAAAGUCAAGAACUAAACUUGUUUUGUAGGUUUAUGCAUCCGGGGGCUCAAGUUGGAUCAUCGACAACGGGUGCACAAACCACAUGACAGGGGAGAAGAAAAUGUUCUCCUCCUAUGAGAAAAAUCAAGAUCCCCAACGAGCCAUCACAUUCGGGGAUGGAAAUCAAGGUUUGGUCAAAGGAUUGUGUAAAAUUGUUAUAUCUCCUGACCAUUCUAUUUCCAAUGUUUUUCUUGUAGAUUCAUUAGAUUACAAUUUGCUUUAUGUAUCUCAAUUAUGCAAAAUGGGCUACAACUGUUUAUUCACUGAUGUAGGUGUCACUGUCUUUAGAAGAAGUGAUGAUUCAAUAGCAUUUAAGGGUGUGUUAGAGGGUCAGCUAUACUUAGUAGAUUUUGAUAGAGCUGAACUCGACACAUGCUUAAUUGCUAAGACUAACAUGGGUUGGCUCUGGCACCGCCGACUAGCCCAUGUUGGGAUGAAGAAUCUUCACAAGCUUCUAAAGGGAGAACACAUUUUAGGACUAACAAAUGUUCAUUUUGAGAAAGACAGGAUUUGUAGCGCAUGCCAAGCAGGAAAGCAAGUUGGUGCACAUCAUCCACACAAGAACAUCAUGACGACCGACAGGCCGCUUGAGCUACUCCACAUGGAUCUAUUCGGCCCGAUAGCUUACAUAAGCAUCGGCGGGAGUAAGUAUUGUCUUAUAAUUGUGGAUGAUUAUUCUCGCUUCACUUGGGUAUUCUUUUUGCAGGAAAAAUCUCAAACCCAAGAGACCUUAAAAGGAUUCUUGAGACAGGCUCAAAAUGAGUUCGGCUUAAGGAUCAAGAAAAUUAGAAGCGACAACGGGACGGAGUUCAAGAACUCUCAAAUCGAAGGCUUCCUUGAGGAGGAGGGCAUCAAGCAUGAGUUCUCUUCUCCCUACACGCCACACCAAAAUGGUGUAGUGGAGAGGAAGAAUCGAACUCUAUUGGACAUGGCAAGGACCAUGCUUGAUGAGUACAAGACUUCGGAUCGGUUUUGGGCCGAGGCGGUCAACACCGCUUGCUACGCCAUCAACCGGUUAUAUCUUCACUGAAUCCUCAAGAAGACAUCAUAUGAACUCCUAACCGGUAAAAAGCCCAAUAUUUCAUAUUUUAGAGUCUUUGGUAGCAAAUGUUUUAUUCUUGUUAAAAGAGGUAGAAAAUCUAAAUUUGCUCCUAAGACUGUAGAAGGCUUUUUACUAGGAUAUGAUUCAAACACAAGGGCAUAUAGAGUCUUUAACAAGUCCUCUGGACAAGUUGAAGUUUCUUGUGACGUUGUGUUUGAUGAGACUAACGGCUCUCAAGUAGAGCAAGUUGAUCUUGAUGAGAUAGGUAUUGAAGAGGCCCCGUGCAUCGCGCUAAGGAACAUGUCCAUUGGGGAUGUGUGUCCUAAGGAAUCCGAAGAGCCUACAAAUGCACAAGAUCAACCAUCCUCCUCCACGCAAGCAUCUCCACCGACUCAAAAUGAGGAUGAAGCUCAAGUUGAUGAAGUAGAAGAUCAAGAAAAUGAGCCACCUCAAGAUGACGGCAAUGAUCAAGGGGGAGAUACAAAUGAUCAAGACAAGGAGGAUGAAGAGCAAAGGCCGCCACACCCAAGAGUCCACCAAGCAAUCCAACGAGAUCACCCCGUCGACACCAUCCUCGGCGACAUUCAUAAGGGGGUAACUACUAGAUCUCGUGUUGCACAUUUUUGUGAGCAUUACUCUUUUGUUUCCUCUAUUGAGCCACACAGGGUAGAGGAAGCACUACAAGAUUCGGAUUGGGUGGUGGCGAUGCAAGAGGAGCUCAACAAUUUCACUAGGAAUGAGGUAUGGCAUUUAGUUCCACGUCCUAACCAAAAUGUUGUAGGAACCAAAUGGGUCUUCCGCAACAAGCAAGAUGAGCAUGGUGUGGUGACAAGGAACAAAGCUCGACUUGUGGCCAAGGGAUACUCCCAAGUCGAAGGUUUGGAUUUCGGUGAAACCUAUGCACCCGUAGCUAGGCUUGAGUCAAUUCGCAUAUUAUUGGCCUAUGCUACUUACCAUGGCUUUAAGCUUUAUCAAAUGGACGUGAAAAGUGCCUUCCUCAAUGGACCAAUCAAGGAAGAGGUCUAUGUUGAGCAACCUCCCGGCUUUGAAGAUAGUGAGUACCCUAACCAUGUUUAUAAGCUCUCUAAGGCGCUUUAUGGGCUCAAGCAAGCCCCAAGAGCAUGGUAUGAAUGCCUUAGAGAUUUCCUUAUCGCUAAUGGCUUCAAAGUCGGAAAGGCCGAUCCUACUCUAUUCACUAAUACUCUUGAAAAUGACUUGUUUGUAUGCCAAAUUUAUGUUGAUGAUAUUAUAUUUGGGUCUACUAACGAGUCUACAUGUGAAGAGUUUAGUAGGAUCAUGACACAGAAAUUCGAGAUGUCUAUGAUGGGGGAGUUGAAGUACUUCUUGGGAUUUCAAGUGAAGCAACUCCAUGAGGGCACCUUCAUUAGCCAAACGAAGUAUACUCAAGACAUUCUAAAUAAGUUUGGGAUGAAGGAUGCCAAGCCCAUCAAGACACCCAUGGGAACUAAUGGGCAUCUCGACCUCGACAUGGGAGGUAAGUCCGUGGAUCAAAAGGUAUACUGGUCGAUGAUAGGUUCUUUACUCUAUUUAUGUGCAUCUCGACCGGAUAUUAUGCUUUCUGUAUGCAUGUGUGCAAGAUUCCAAGCCGACCCUAAGGAAGCUCACCUUACGGCCGUAAAAUGAAUCUUGAGAUAUUUGGCUUAUACUCCUAAGUUUGGGCUUUGGUAUCCUAGGGGAUCCACAUUUGAUUUGAUUGGUUAUUCGGAUGCCGAUUGGGCGGGGUGUAAAAUCAAUAGGAAGAGCACAUCGGGGACUUGCCAGUUCUUGGGAAGAUCCUUGGUGUCUUGGGCUUCAAAGAAGCAAAAUUCGGUUGCUCUUUCCACCGUCGAAGCCGAGUAUAUUGCCGCAGGCCAUUGUUGCGCGCAAUUGCUUUGGAUGAGGCAAACCCUGCGGGACUACGAUUACAAAUUAACCAAAGUCCCUUUGCUAUGUGAUAAUGAGAGUGCAAUCAAGAUGGUGGAUAAUCCCGUCGAGCAUAGCCGCACUAAGCACAUAGCCAUUCGGUAUCAUUUUCUUAGGGAUCACCAACAAAAGGGAGAUAUCGAGAUUUCAUAUAUUAACACUAAAGAUCAAUUAGCCGAUAUCUUUACCAAGCCUCUUGAUGAACAAACUUUUAACAAACUUAGGCAUGAGCUAAAUAUUCUUGAUUCUAGGAACUUCUUUUGUUAAAAUUGCACACAUAGCUCAUUUAUAUACCUUUGAUCAUGUCUCUUUCAUAUGCUAUGACUAAUGUGUCUUCAAGUCUAUUUCAAACCAAGUCAUAGGUGUAUUGAAAGGGAAUUGGAGUCUUCGGCGAAGACAAAGGCUUCCACUCCGUAAUUCUUCUUUCGCCGUCACUUCAAGCAACUCUCCAUUCUAGGGGGAGAAAGCAUGAGCACCAAGCAAAAGGACUUCAUCUUUGGUAUAAUCUUCACUCAUUUAUUUAUGACCAAAGGGGAAGAAAGUAAUGAAAGGGCUCUAAUGAUUCCGUUUUUGGCGAUUCAUGCCAAAGGGGGAGAGAGUAUGAGCCCAAAGCAAAAGGACCGCACCACCACCAAUUUCAAAAACUUAGUUUUUCAAAGAGUAUUUUCAAUUGGUAUCCUAUUGUGUUCAAAAGGGGGAGAAAGUAGUAUUUCAAAAAUGAUAUAUCAAAACCCUCUUGAACACUAAGAGGAGGAUCUCAUUUAGGGGGAGUUUUGUUUAGUCAAAGGAAAAGCAUUUGAAACAGGGGGAGAAAAUUUCAAAUCUUGAAAAUGCUUCGAAAAAUCUUAUUCAUUUACCUUUGACUAUUUGCACAAAGAACUUUGAAAAGGAUUUACAAAAUAGUUUGCAAAAACAAAACAUGUGGUGCAAGCGUGGUCCAAAAUGUUAAAAAUAAAGAAACAAUCCAUGCAUAUCUUGUAAGUAUUAAUAUUGGCUCAAUUCCAAGCAACCUUUGCACUUACAUUAUGCAAACUAGUUCAAUUAUGCAUUUCUAUCCUUGCUUUGGUUUGUGUUGGCAUCAAUCACCAAAAAGGGGGAGAUUGAAAGGGAAUUAGGCUUACACCUAGUUCCUAAAUAAUUUUGGUGGUUGAAUUGCCCAACACAAAUAAUUGGACUAACUAGUUUGCUCUAGUGUACAAAUUAUACAAGUGCCAAAGGUUCACACUUAGCCAAUAAAAAGAUCAAGUUUUGGAUUCAACAAAGGAGCAAAGGGGCAACCGAAGGCACCUCUGGUCUGGGGGCACCGGACUGUCCGAUGUACACCGGACAGUGUCCGGUGCACCAGAGGACUCCAACUCGAACUCGUCACCUUCGGGAAUCUCCAGAGGCACUCGCGCUAUAAUUCACCGGACUGUCCGGUGUACACCGGAUAGUGUCCGGUGCUCCAAGGAAGAGCCGCCUCAGGAACUCGCCAGCCUCGGGAAAUCGCAACGGCUGCUCCGCUAUAAUUCACCGGACUGUCCGGUGUACACCGGACUGUCCGGUGAACCAGCAGAGCAACGGCUACUUCGCGCCAACGGUCACCUGCAGGCGCAUUCAAUGCGCGCCAGAAGCGCGCAGAAGUCAGGCACGCCCAUACUGGCGCACCGGACAUUGAACAAUACAUGUCUGGUGUGCACCGGACAUCCAGGCGGGCCCAGAAGACAGAGCUCCAACGGUCGAAUCCCAACGGCAUUUGGUGACGUGGCUGGCGCACCGGACUGUCCGGUGUGCACCGGACUGUCCGGUGCACCAUACGACAGACAGCCUCCACCAACGGUCAUGUUUGGUGGUUGGGGCUAUAAAUACCCCAACCACCCCACCAUUCAUUGCAUCCAAGUUUUCCAGCUUCCAACCACUAUACAAGAGCUAGCAUUCAUUGCAAAGCACACCAAAAGAGAUCAAAUCCUCUCCCAACUCCACACAAAGCUUUAGUGACUAGAGAGAGUGAUUUGUAGUGUUCAUUUGAGCUCUUGCGCUUGGAUCGCAUUCUUUCUUGUGAUCAAACACUCACUUGUAAUUGAGGCAAGAGACACCAAUUGUGUGGUGGUCCUUGCGGGAAGUUUGAUUCCCAAGUGAUUUGAGAAGAGAAGCUCACUCGGUCCGAGGGACCGUUUGAGAGAGGGAAAGGGUUGAAAAAGACCCGGCCUUUGUGGCCUCCUCAACGAGGAGUAGGUUUGCAAGAACCGAACCUCGGUAAAACAAAUCCGUGUGUCUCACUUCUUAUUUGCUUGAGAUUUGUUUUGCACCCUCUCUCGCGGACUCGGUUUUAUUUCUAACACUAACCCAGCUUGUAGUUGUGUUUAUAUUUGUAAAUUUCAGUUUCGCCCUAUUCACCCCCCCUCUAGGCGACUAUCAACAAGAUAACAUCCAUUAACUACAAGCCAGCAAAAAGCAAGAAAAAAGAGAAUCAGGGACAAACUUGAAAGUAACCAACUAUAAAGUCUAGCAAUAGUGUAAGUAAUUCUGCAUUUGUUAUCAGCAACUGCUCAUGGUCCCAUGACUACCGAAUGUGAGAACAGAGGGGGCUUCCAGAGCACUAACUAGAAUCUUGACAUGACAGGUAUCUACCAUCUUUAAAUUAUCUGGUAUGUAUUUUUGUAUACCUCUAUCAAAUGAUAGCAUGCAAUCUAAGGUGCUCAGGUCUUGCAAAUUUUGCUGAUUUAACAAACUAUGACAACUGGAUAUUUUCAGCAUUCUUCAUAAGCAAGUAACUAUGUGUUAGGGUCAAGAAAUACUUUCUGUAUGUAGAUAUGGAUCUAAUUCUCUAACCUCCUAACAAACCUGCUACUUCUCUUAUCCAAAAUCUUGUAAAUAGAAUUAGUGUAAGCAAUUCAACAUUUUUAUAAGCUUCUUCUCAUGGUCCCAUGACUACCCAAUGUGAGAACAAAGGGGGCAUCGGCCCUGAAAACCACGCAGACAAUUGACUUCUUUUUUUAUUCAUCAUUUUUUGCUCGUAAGGCUUGUUCUACAAGUGUUUAUUAUACUAUACUAUACUCAUUCAGAUCUAAACUUUUGCAGUUGCGAAGGGAAUCUCAAAUAAAAAAUUGUCAAUCUUAAGUUUCUUCAUCAACCAGGUAUUUUCUUAACAAUUUCAUUUGAAACUCAGUUAUGCCUGACUACAUUGAUCAUAGAGUGUUUACUGAAAUUGGGUAUGGGGGUUUCAUUGUAGUAGUUUGUUGCUAAAACUUCAUGAUAAAUGGAGAACCUUCAUAAAUAAACUCAGAUCUAAAUUUAUACAACUCAUAUCAUUUUGCACCAACCACUCUAGGUACUUACUUUCCUCUCUAAUACUAUUAUCCAGAAACCUCUGCUCCUUUUCCUGAACAAAAAAAAAGGUUCAGAGAUAUGGAACAUCGCAACCUACAUGUUAUAGUCAUAAAUCAUAAGCUCCCUAUUCUUGUAAAAUUAAAUGGUUGUCAGAGCCCGAUAUCCACGGAGAACCUUUUAUAUAAUUAUAAUUGACAGCAUUCAUCAAACAACCGACAUGCUCUAGGAAGGUGGUGCACUGCUCCUACCACCGCUUCAUGUCCAGCAGUUUCAUGUUCAGCUCCCAUGCCAGGGCCUCCACAAAAAAAGCAACACAAAACCAAGCAACGGGCAGAAACAUUCAUCUGAGGUUUGCAACUUUCUUUCCCUCUAACGGUUGGUCUAUAUGUCUUUUUGCACUUUGUUUCCUGUAGUUUAGUCACCUUAGGAGGUGUUAUCGAUAAUUCUUAGAUCUUGUAUGUACAUGAUCCCUCAUUCACUACUAGCUUCCUUAGCAACUCACAUUUGUAUUAUGGUUCAGAAAUGCCUCCACAAUAACCAAUGACUUGUCUCUGGUAUGAUGUCCACUAGCGUGAAUCCACCAUAAGGAUGUUUAGAAAUUCAUUGCAUUUGCUAUAACUGAGAUUUUGGAUCCACUGGCAUCAUUGUGGCUUGCAUGUCAGUACUUUGUACAGUAGAGAUCAUGCGAGUAUUCUAACCAGUGACACCGUCAGUGAUCCUAUGCUUGGCAGUGCCUCUAAUAAGGAUCUUAUUAGGUCCAUCAGCCCUUUCUGUUCUGAAAAAGGUGAAGUAGGCAUCAUUUGCGUGCCCAAUGUCAUCAUCAAUAUUGCGAUAAAUUUAUGUUUUGUUUACCUACUGCAGCCUAAGACUGUGACUCCUUUUCAACGAAUCAAGGUGGACAACGUCAGAUUUGCAGACGAGAGGCUUCAUGAUAACUCAUAUUGGGCUAAGGUGCUUUGCUGCUUUGUUGAUCAUACAUGCACAUGUUGAUGGAUUUUUAGCAUUUAUCAAGCUAAAUCUUUUUCUUUGCUACAACUUAUGCGACAUUAACGUUGUUACUUGAUUCCUUUUGAAAUGAUUGUCUUGGAGCUGAUAAUCUAGCUAUGCACGAGGCGUGAGCUGGUGUCGUUACUUCUGCACCAAGCAUUGGAACUAAUGUUGGAAAGCCUGGAAGUGUAGUGAUAGCUAGGCCGGCCGGAAGGUGUCGUCGUGUCGUAUUCAUGAGCGUACGUAUUGUGGGUGUCUGAUGGUUGUCGUAGUCGUUUCCUAACAGUAACCUGUGUUAGGGUUUGCAGCUGCAAAAAGAAAAAAAGCUUCCGAACAGGCCGUUGGGCUCGGGGGCUGCAAUUGCUCCUGCUCCUUAGCGCAAAACAAACUAAAGUAGUGUUUGUCUCUCUAUUUUAUUGCAAAAAAUUGAACUAGAAGCCCCACAAACAUGACAAACACGCCAUACAUGGAUUUCCUUCAUAUGCUCAUCGAAUAUUUUGUAUGUCGUUUCAACGCACGGACACCUAACUAGUCCUUUAAUUAAGUUAAAAUGGUCUUUAACCGAGCGAUGAGCCAAUGGUUGACUUGGCUGAGUGCUUGGGCCUAGCUGAGCAACUUGCCUGUUGUGCUUGAGGUCGGUGGACGCGUGACUGGUGAGGUAGCCCAUGGAUCGUGAAAACAUUAAGGGCCUAUUUGGAUCUAGGAGCUAAAGCAAAAUGUCUAAAGUUUAGCUCCUCCUAAGAAGCUAAAAGUGUCUAAUACAUUUUUACUAUUUUAGUCACUUUUAUUUCUUUUUGUUUGGAUCUUUACAUAUUUUUACUAUUUUAGACACUAUUAAUUCUUUAUGUUUGGAUUUUAGCCACUUUUAUUUUAACUCCUCGGAUUCAAACAGGCUCAAAGCCAUACUAGUACUCGACUACUCUAUAGUGCAGUGUAGACGAGCCUUUUCGUGCAUGUUAAUAGGCCUUUUCACACUUGCAUAAAUGAUACGGGCUCAUGUCCACCCGUGGCCAUAGCCUCAACCCAAGCAUAGCCGAAUGCAUAGGCUAGAGCCGGCUCAGCCCAAAAUAAUUUUGUAUUGCAUCAUGUUUAGACUAUGUUUUUUUCAAGCUUCAUGCACUCAUGCUAACCCGUCGGACCUGACCCUAUAUGUAUUUAGGGUAACAUCACAUAAGCAAAUUAUAGAACUAAGGUCUGAUUUGGUUUAAGGAACUAAAGAUUAGUCUCUCAACUAUAGCCUUAUUUAGUCCCUAAAUUACUAAGCGGUAGAACUAAAACAAGAAUUAAAUUAUUUUAGUCUGUAGUCCCUAAGAGUGACUAAAAAAAGACUAAACCAUAUAAAUUCAAUUUUCCCCUUCUUUAUUUGAAUUACACAAAUGACGUGAGAAUGCUUAAGGAUAUUUUAGUUCACUUAUAAUUCAUUUAAUGUAUUUCGAAUACUUUUAGUAUCUAGAAACAAACGUAGUAGUCUCAUAGCUAAACUUGAGUCCCUGAAAACUAAACUUGAGUCCCUGAACUAAAAGUAACCAAACGGGCCCUAAGCAAAUCAUGGAACUAAUUGGGUUUAAUAUGUUCAUCUUAUCGUUUGAUAGUUUCUAAACCUAAACCAAACGACGUCAGCUACCUUUUUAUAUAUAAAACCAUACUUUGAAAGUUAACAAUUUGUGUGUUCAGAAAUCCACAAUGAUGUUCGCCCGUUGAAUCAUUUGUGGUUGUUCGCCCGUUCAAUCAUUUAUUUUGUUCGAAGGCAGCAUUGUUUGUGGUACUGCAAAUCAGCAGAUGACUGCAAAAUCGCCUGCACGAUCGGCACGACCCUUGUCACAAAAAAAAAAAAAAAAAUCGACAGCACGAUCACUAAUUCCGCAGGCAAAGUUCGGCGGCCAUGCUCGCCAAUCCACUUUGCAGGGCUACAGAGCGAAGCCGCUUCUAUCGACAGCUUCAAACGCAACGAAACGGGUGGCGGCGUGCAUCGGCACGAUGUGCGGUGCCAGACGGGAAGCAAUAAUCAAACCGACAGGAAGAGCGCCGGAAGAUUGCUCGGUGCAAAUCUGUGUGCGCCGCAGGGCUGAGGAACCUAUCGCCGAUGACACGGCAGCCAGAUCCUUAAGCUGAGCACCCGCGGCGCGAAGUUCGUUCUACGCCCCCAGAACAAGGCCGCCAAGAGUGGAUUGUUCUCUUGAAGCCGAAAGAAGAGGCGACAGAAGGGAAAAAACAAAAACAAAUCGAAACAAGCAUAACGAAACGAACUUCUACACGAACUGAGAGGUCGACGAAGGGUCCAUCUCCAUCGUCUACGGCGGUGGAUGUGAUGAGCGAGAGAGAGAGCUAGGGUUACAGAAGCGAUGGACGGCGUGGCCCGUUUUAUAAAGAGAACCAGAUUGUUCUAGAAGCCCUAAUCUCUGAUGAGUGUAUAUGGGCCGGCCCAAAUGGACAACUACGGGAAAUAAGUGCUCAUUGGCUUUUUCUUUUUUAACCGCCAAUAUCCCACUCAGUUAAUUUUAUUUAAGGGUCUCACUCAGUUUGUGGACCAAUGAAGAAGGGUGUACUCAGCCUAAGAGCAAGUUUAAUAAUGCAAUUGACCGUUGACUGUAAUGAUCUUUGUAACCUACUAUUUAGUAUUAUUUAUAUGUAUAAUAGUUAGCUCUUCACUAUUAGUAUAGAGCUCCGCUUGCAUCCCUUACAAAGCUUAUAGUCUGCUUCUCCUUACCUUUACACCUCAGCAUUUGUUCAACUUAUAGCCUCUUACUAGGUGAGUGCCCGUGCGUUGCGACGGGAGUAAAAAAUUAUAUAAAAUCUAAGGACCACUACUUUUACAUGUAAAUUAUGUAUAAAUGCAUAUCAAAAGUAACCAGCAGUAUGUGAGCGUGCGUGCGGAUCAGACAGCAAGUCGCCAAGAAGGAAGGCUAGGCAGCAAAUUACCAACAGUAAUUCAGACACCAGUAUAUUUUUGUUUCUUAUUGAACAAAUAUGCUAUUGUUUUUAUUUAUGGAUCAAGCAAGGCAUGAGAGAUUGGACUUUUAGUAUCAACAGCGUGCAUAAGUGGGACUUCAGUGAUCACUUAUACAUUGCGGGCCCAACGUUAUUAGGAAUCAAACCGCAGCCUUCAAAACCAUCGUUUCAGGGAGCGAUUCAUUCACCUGGGUAAGAGCACAUGACAAAAUGAUUGAUGUAUAAUUGAAGUGCCACCAUGAUAUGAUGCUACUUAAUGUAUAGUGAACAAUGGUGCCUUGCAUGAUAGGUGGCCUCGCAUGGCCCAAUGCAUCAGAGUAGCAUGCAACUUGCAAAAAAAAGAGGUACCAGCAUCUGGAAUUUCUCUGUAUGAUUCAGACGACUCAAAGUCCUAGACCAGAUCAUGAAUUAGAAGAGAUAUAUAUUCACAGCUCCCUUUUACCAACUAUAUCAACACAACUAUCUGCCCAAGGGAAAUUCUUCAACCUCUACAAAUAGUAGCUUCCUCACCAGGUGUAACUCGAAUUUCACCCCUGCUCACACAGCUCCUGGAACCGGGCCAAGCUACAAGAACAAACUAAAGGCAUGAUUCAUAUGAACAGAUGAUAAAAUAACAUGUCUGUCUGUCCAAGCGAGAAAUUAAGAUUCAGUUUCAAGCAAACAUGAGUUAUAAUCUACCACAAUUUUGUUAGCUACCAUGUCUGCCUGGCAGUUGAUAUGCCAAAAAUUCUAAUUCAGUCUUUAGGUUGACAAUGCCAUUGAGUUGAUAUGCUAGAAUUUCCAGUUCAAUCAUUUAAGUUGACAAUGCCAUGGAGUUGAGGCAAAUGCAGGAACAAGAAAAUGAUUUUACUGAAGUACCAGACAACAUACAAAACCCAUGGUCAUACGACUGACCUUCUAAGAAGAGGCUUGGGGUUGUAAGGGAACAAAUCCUUCUUUUGCAGAUCUUCCAACGUUCUCUUUAAUAAAUAAAGACAUUUUUUAGCAUCGAGGAAAAGCUUCCGUGAAUCCUCGACUUCUUUAUCACAACCAGAACCAUUCUUAUACUGGUUACUUGAACUGGCUCUAUUGCUAUCUUUAUCCCCAGAAAUCCUCUGCCUUUUACAGUUAAGCUUUUCUAUUUUUGUUGAGUAAACUGAAUCAUCAACAAAAGCAUGCCAAGACUGGGAAACCAAGCGUAAACACAUGUGCAAGUGUGUAAGAGAGGUCAAAGGUCACAAUUCAAAAGACACUUUGUUCCAUCUGAAGACGUCAGCAAAAAUAGUUAAAAAAAUGUAAGAUAGGUACCAACCUUAAUAGAUAUUGAGCACAAAGCACACCAACAUCCCUAGAUAUGAGAUAAUCAACGAGUACCAUGUGAUCAUAGUGCAGCUGCAGAAUAGUUUCAAUGAAUGAAAAAAUAUUAUGCUCAAAACAGGCAUUAUGGAGUGAAAGGGGAAAAUUUUGAAAGAUUAAUAGAAGAAAGUACUAUGUGUGAACAAAAUUAUGAGUCCUAAAGUACUGAAUUUUGCAUAGCAUGUCCAAUUACAAAUGGUAAUCUUGACCAGGUUCUCAAUGAUGGUUGCAGCACUGAAUAAUUAACCCAUACAAUAAAGUCAAUCACUUGUACCACAACAUAAACAAGAACUAAAUGUCAAGAUGCUACCUUACAAGAAAAUAUUGUGCCUCCAGCAGACCUGAAAAAUAACGAGAACAUUUUGAUCGACUCACCAGAUAUUCAGUGCAUGAAAGCAAUAUUGGGCAAGCAAUAUAAAGGCAACAUGCUAUCAGUUAAAUAUGGGUGUACUCUGCACAAGAUAAAAAUAAAAGAGAAACAAACUUGAUGGAAGCAGGAUGAAUUACCUGCAAAUAUAUCAUGGAAUAUGGAUUCUUCGCCAAAGAAAUCAUCAGUAAACAUGUAUCUGCAGUUUAUUUAUAUAUGUCACACUGGUACUUUAUCUUCAUGAAUAAAAACCGAACUAUAUUCAGCGGGAAGCAGUGGCGGGGCCAAAAAUUAUACAUAGGGAGGCAGCCAAAAGAUUCAAAACAUAGGCAAGAAUAGUGUUACCAGGACGCAGGUGUGGGAACCAGAAUCCGAUACAGAUGCAGGUGUUUAGCUAGGCAGGCUCAGAAAAAUAGGAUUCAGGAAUUCUUCUAAUACAUUUUUAAAAAUAGAACAACAUUUUAGCUCUUCAAAUAUUAAGUACAAUAUUAAUUCCUCUUCUUAGUAAAAUGACAUGAAACUCUCCUAUGUCGUUAAAAAAAUCUAAGAUUAAUCCUAUUUACUAUAAUCCAUUGUGUGCUUUACCAAAGGAAAAGGCCUGGGAUUACAACAAAAGCUCCAAAAUAGCUACAGUUUGUGCAUAGAACAACAGUCAAAACCAGCAUUUAAAGUGAUUCCCUCUCUACGUCUACACACCUAUCAUUGUCUUAACCAUCAUUUAAAGUGAUUCCCUCUCUACGGCUACACACCUAUCAUUGUCUUCUGCCAUUUUUUCCCUCUCAUGGAUAACACACAUGAGCUUCCUCUUGCCCUCUGCAGCAAGAUUCUUUCUCAAUGUAUCAGAUAUGAGCCAGGCCAUGUCAGGUGUCAAUGGGCAAUUCAUUGUGUCAAGUUGUCAUGGCAGCAAUAAAAAAUGGACAUAGGUAUCCCGCAACACUGCAGAAAAUUUGAGUAAAGGCGGUAAAACUGGAAAAAAAAGUAAGGUAAGUGGUAGCAUACUCUAUUGGUUUAUGCAAAAAGAGUUGCAGUUCAGACAGCAAUUCAGUAUUUGGCUUAUGAUGAAUAUCAGAAAAGGUGCUUUGUAUUAUGCUUCUAUUAGUGACAAGUUUAUCUCUUAAAUCAGAUGCUUCCGUCAUGCUGAUCAUUCCAGAAAUGACCAUUGUAUCUAUCCGCAGGAGUAACUCACUGAAACUUGAUGACUGUGCUGCUUCUAGGGGAAUUCCUAAAAGGAGUCCCAUGAGAAAAUGGAAUAUGUAGAAGUAUAGCGAAAGGUAUAUGAAAAAAAUAUUUGAUGCAUGUAGUUUACCUCUAUAGUUAAGAAUGAGAAAUGGAAAGUAAAACAAUCAUAUUAACAAUCAGCAUAGGAUUGCUGAAGAUUGAGAAAUUUCACAUUACCAUCCAUAUAGUUCCUAAGCCUGAAAAUGUUGGCAACCGAGACCGCACCUUGCAUUUCUGUUUCUAGUCCUUGUAUUUCCUCGAGAAGCAAAUUAUUUUCAUCCUACAGUUUCUUCAUCUCCUCCAUGGCAAUAAGUCGUUGCUUGUUAAUGUACAGGAUAUCUGUAACAGACAAAUGUUAAGACCUGUUUAUCAGCAAGGAAGGAAGCGAUAUGAAAGACAGGUUGAAAUGGAAAAAGUGCUACAUUAUGAUGAAAAAUAAUAGUUGUGGUACUAAGUUGUGGUCUGAUACAGAUACAAAGCAUUAACAUUAUGUGAAGCAAGGGAAGAGUAAUUACUCCGUUGAGCCAGGUUGAAGAGCUCUGUAACAUCACCCUCACAUUGCUCGUCAGCCAAACUUGGUACCUGGAAACAACAAUUACCCUCAUAAGCCUCUUAAACGUAAACCAGGAAAGUAAAUAAAAAACAGAAAAUAAGUGGAAUUGUCUGUGGUGAUGUUAUCCAUGCCUGAUCGCUAUCUGCUUCGACGUCCAACCUACAAAAUUCCCAGCACCCCGACAUAUAGAAACACACCUGAGAACACUGUCGUCCUUGACUUUACUCGCCAUAGUCCACCUACUCACCCUUGAGGUAGUAGAAGAGUUCACGCGUCUGCAUCGCCAGGAACAAUAAACUCUCAGCGAUCUAUAUUCAGGGGAACAUAAUCUUUCUUGUUCACAGACACGGAGAAGAUACCAAAUCAUAAUAAAAAACAUAAUGGGCAUGUGAUUUCAGGGAAGCAUUGGCUCCAGUGAUCUUGGUCUUCUUUGUUCUGUUGAGCACCUUCCUCACCUCGUUUGCAAGCUCUAUGAUCGAAUCAUCUUCGUGGCCUGAAGAGGGGCAGCAUAAUCACGAUUUGAUGUUUGAGUCUAGGAUGUAAAUACUGACUUUGCAGAAAGGACAUACAUGAACUACUCCCAGGUAAUACCGUAUUUUAUGUAACACAUGGGGUAUAAAUAACAGAUAUUCAGAUUGUUAACCACUUAAAAAUGUAAAAAUAGGUUCUCUUACUAAUGCUGGCUAAUGCCUUCUCCAUUGAGAACAGGUAAUCCCUAUUAUAGCCAGUAGGGCCAUUGGCUGUAGCAAUUUGCCUGCCAUUGCAAACAAGAUUGUAGAACAAGUCACAAUUUGAUGCUUGCUCAGGUAAAAUGCCCAAAAGAUCAAUAGAGGGGUGCAAUGUCUCACCUUGCCAUAUCCUGCAAAGGAGCAGGGCCAAGAUAGUACUUGUUGCCAAUUGGAUCUGGAGUGGAAACGAACUUGCAUGAACACCAAGUUAUGAGUUCCACAGAGCAACAUCAGCAAAUAGCAUGGAAUUGGUAUUUUUGGUUUUGGAACUUCAGAUCCUUAAACUAAGACGCCCGUCAUAGCUGGUUUCAAGGGAUCUCCUUCCUGAACAUGCAUCAAGGAAACAUGAGAGUUCUGAAAGAAAAAGCAGUUCAAAGCUAACUGUUCAUACAUUGUAGAAAUCAAUGGAUAUCUUCUGGUCGUACUCACACUCUCUUCUCUCCAAGUACUGAAAUGAAGGUGAAAUUUCAGCGUAAUUCUAGUUUUUUUGGAGCUGCAGAACAUGGGAGAGAAAAAAAAUUAGUGCACCUGCAUUGCUUUUAACUCUUUUUCUGGACCACCCUUGACACAAUAUGCAAUUCCCCAGUGAAAAAAAAGUUAACUGUAAAUAAGACCAACAUAACAAAAUUAUGGGAAUCUUAAAUGUGAGUAGCAUCUGAUGAAAAGAUCUUUAAAUGAGCAUAUCAUCAUUCAUCAAAAACAAAAUCAGAACUAAAAAAAUGCGCAUCAAGAAUUUUAUACAAAAGAGUAAUGAAUGGAGUAGAAGACAAAAAGGCCAAUCAUGCUCUCUAAAUAGAUAAGAGAUCUUGAAAAGAUGAAUGUAAAAACGAAAUAUUAUGAAUGGUUACCAGUUACCAGGUUACACUCUGGAAAGUAAAGUUUCAUUGUGUGACUUAGUUGUGGUCACUCCAAGUAUUCACAAACAAGUGCAGUCAGUAACCUACCUGCAAUUUAACAGACAUCCUCUCAGGUGGUCUCUGGUUGAGAACCAUCCCGCCUUGUGGGUUCUGAACCUGCUGCCCUUGAAGCAGUUUCUUCGCUGAAAUGAGGAUGUAAUAGUGACAGUGGGUAAACGAUUGAGCAGCAGCACACUGUCUGUGUGUUUAAAUGCUAGUUAUUCACCAAUCUCAUAGAACACGUCGUUCACAUUGGUAGCUGUUUUGGCAGAAGUUUCCAUGAAGAAGAGACCAUUUUCUUGAGCGUACGCCUUUGCUUCCUGCAGCAUAGGAUAAUGUUACCUAAUGUAUUUUGUUUUGGUUCAGUAGACACCAUCACGAUCAAACGAGAGGAAGACAAAAAAACAUUGCUGCUAUCAUGCACCAACAUUUUCAUGCUCCCAGGUCCCAGCUUACACGAGACAUCAAACUGGAAGUAAUCACUAAAAAGACAUUCUGUGUUCCCUACCACUCUGCUUAGCUCAGAUGUUGUUGCCAGAUUACGACAGUGAUGACUGAUCGAUGACAUGAUCAAUAAAUAGCUAAGCUAACCUGUUCUGCAGUGUCCAUCCCUUUUGCCAUGAGCACGUCGACGACUGCUUCCUCGAGUAGACAGGCCACAUGGAGUGAGGUCUCCGGGGAAACAGAAGUUUAGGCUCCAUUAGGCGGCAAAACAUGUGCGAGCGGACCUGUGCCACUAUCGUAGUCGGGGCCGAGGACUGGCAAGGCGCCGCUGCGAAGUACAAAUAUAUAGCAUAGUUAGCCCUCUAAAAUACUUUAGAACCAAAAUCUCACAAAAUGAAAACACUGGCCUAACCGAGGCACAGGUUACAACAGACAUCUGAAGAUAUUUCCAGGCCCUAAACGCAGAUGGCAUGGCAUCCUGCUUUGAGAAACACGAAUUUUGUUCCGCGGUGCCAUUACCGUUGGCGCUCGCUGCCGGCAGCGGCAUGCCUAGCCCCAGCCCCGCGGCGGCGAGCUUGGCAUGGAUGCGGGGGCGAGCUUGACAUGGAUGCGGCGACGAGCUUGGCAUAUAAGUAGUUCAUCUACAACAGUACAAAAACAUCAAUACCAAGUGUCAAAAGAAUUGUACAACAAUGGUUGAGGAAAGAAUAAAAGCAACAGAAUUGUUGCGGGGCCUCUCAUGUAUUUGUGUGUGCCCAGCAACCCUAGAAGGAUAACGCAUAAUUAAAGUUCAUACACACACAUGUAUAUACAAACCGUCAUUGGUUUAUCUAGGUUCGCAUCAAUAGAAAUUCAGCACAGUGGUCCUAAGCAAGGCCUAUAUGUAGCACUCUUAAAUCUUAAUGGUACAUCUGUGCAGAUCACCCACACAAAAAUGUACUCCCAGCUUCUAGAUUCUAAUGUAUCAUGAUUACUACUGUGCUUUCUAUAGACUGGCAGUCCCAGUGCAAGUAAACUGGGAGUAAAUUACAUUUUAUAUAAGAGAAGACAUAGUUUGAUGAUGAAAAGCUUUCUGCUGUCCACCAUGCACUAUAGGUACAACAAAAUCGACUAAAAAGUUGCAGUAGCAACGCAAACAAGUGAAUCAAGUAUUAAGUAUACUACAGGUUCCCAAGUCUCAAUCAAUACACUAAAGUGCUAAUCAGCAUGGAGUAACCAAUAAAUGCAUUCGUUGGGACAAAAACAAGAAGACAUAAGCACGCUUACCCUCGUGGAAACCCUGAGCAGCAGAGCUAGGACAGGUCUGCACACAAGAGAAAAUGUUACCAGUAGGAUUAGUCAGCAUUCACAUUCCUCUGGACGCAAGCAAAAUCUAACCUAAUGCUGUGGAGUCGCACAUCAGUGUCCAGCUACUUGUGAGAGCGCAAUCCACCUCAAGGAGCAUCGCGGGAUUCACAUUCCACAGUAGAAGCCUGACAACGGGAGCAAGGGGGCCAGGGGGUGUAACAACUGACCUUCUCGCGGUCGAUUGGUUCGGGGCGGAGGCGCGCCAUCGGGGGCGGACCACGGUGCUGCAUGCGAGACUUACCGAACCCCAAAAAACAGGGUGCUCGAUGACGACAUCAAUCUGGGGUGACCUGAAGGAGCCCGAGAAGCCGUCGCAGGGUAUUCCUGUUCCUACCGGCAGCAGGGGAGGAGAAAUCCGUGGGCGCGCGGUUGGAGCUCUCGGGCAUCGCGCAAUCGCCAACUCGUUGUACCCGAAGGCGUCGACGACGCAGUCGAAGUCGGUGGCUGGCGCGAGCGACGUCGCCAGGUGGGUGUUUUCGUUUACCUAUCCCACCCAGAUCUGGUAGGAGUAGCGAGGUUUGGGAGGAGGACAUACCAGGGUCGAGGCGUAGAGGUGGCGCUCCAGCGGUGACCAUGGCGAGGGGGAGGGUGCGCCCUGCGGCGGAGGUGGAGGCGAUGGGAGGUCAUGGCGGCGCGGUCGUCGUUGUCGGGGGCCGUGAGGCAUCUAUCGCGGCAGGGGCAGGGCCGCAGGGGACGAGCAGCGCGGUAGAGAGAGGAACGUGCGGGGAAGGUUAGGGAUUGGGGUGCGGUCGUGCGGUGGAGGGGAAUGGAGCGUGAGAGACGCAGAUGCACGAUAGGAUACGGACGGUCCAGAUUGAUGGACGACAGAACGAGGGGAGGCAAACUACUAUUGCUUACUUAAUAAGUAGUAGAGAUUAUACUUGCUCUAUAGCAAACUUAGUAUAUCUCAGUCCCUUUCUUGUUUGAGUGAAUCUAUACAAACUUGUGUUAGGAAAAACUUUUGUUCGUUGUGGUUUUAAAGUUAUAUAUAUAUAUAUAUAUAUAUAUAUAUAUAUAUGCUAUUUUAGUAGUGAGAUAUAUGGUCUAGACAUCUUGGUGAGACGUUCAAGGAAACCCUUUUUUAGUGUUUAUAUUUAUACUAUAUCUAUAUGUGAGACAAUUCUUUUAUUUGUUGUAUUUGUAAGUUAUAUGUGCUACUAACACAAUGUUUGUGCGUUGCGAUCGCUAUAUAUUACAUAGUUAGAUUUUAUUUAACUUGAUCAGAGGAUGACCUAACUCGUUGUCCAUUGAGCCCGUUGUUCAUUCUAUUUAUCCCAUAGUUGUAUUUUGUUUAACCUCGUCUGAGCACGAUCUGGCCUACCGUUGUCAAUUAAGUUCAUUGUCCAUUGGUUUCUCUUGGAGAGGUUUGGAUAGGGUUAGGAUAGGGAAAGGGAAAUAGGAUAGGAUAGUUUGCACCAAAAAUUGCACCUUCCUUGCAUAUAUACAUUUUAUAUAUUAAGAGUUUUGUUGGGUCUUUAAUAACUUAAAACCUAUCAAUCGUCAUCCACCGCCAGUCUCACCCAUCUCUUCCAGGCAUCACCUCUUCGUCCUCUUCAGUCUCAUAGUUUUUUUUUGCUUUAUUGCUCACGUACAUUGGUUGGUAAAAGCAAACUUCACUCCCUUGAUGCAGAUUCUUCUCUUGUUUAGCUAGCUAUCCAGAAGAUAUAACUUAUGCAAUCAAUUAUAUUGGUGUAAAUGUGUAAUUAAGCAAUCUCGUGCAUUCAAUCGUAAUAUAACAGUGAUUGCUAUUUUAUAUUUAACCAUUUCCACCUAAAACCUACCAGAAUGGUACUAGCUUUUAGAUAGAUAAAAAGGGUCAAUCAGAAUCCCAUUUUACAUUUCUAGAUGAACCUACCAGAAUGUUUAAUGUGAUUCUGGCGUGACAUGCACAGAGAAGCAUUAGGAAAAUACGACGGUGACGACUCACGACACGAGCAUCAAAACAAUCUCUACCCUCCCCGUGAUGAGAGAACACAGAACAGUCUGUACCCGCUUGAGCUCGGGCCAAGAGCGCCGAUACACGAUACGGCAGCCGAGCACACUCUUCCCCUUCCUGACCUCCACUUCCUAGCUCGGCCCCGGCUCCGCAUCUAUCUAUCUCUCGCCCUGCCGUCUCCGGAGACCGGAGCUGCUCUCACAUCCCCACGCGCGCGCCCUCGACCCCGACCACGUCCCCCGCCCGCUCGGCGCUCGCACAGGUAAAUUCCGUGCUCCCCCGCACUGAUCCGCUCAUAGGGUUUCGGCGCCCCGCCGGAUCGAUGAGAAACUCCGAGCUCCCCCUCUCGCUGACUUCCUGCCACCGCUGUUCAAGUCCUUCCAGAUUCCCUCGUCCGGGGAGCGGCGCUGAGGUCUCGCACCGAUGAGCUCGGGGGCCAUCGGGGCCUCGGAUCCUGGGGGUGGCGAGACGAAGCCGGUGGCGGGCGGUGACGUCACGACGUCGGAAGCUGCGGGCGAGGUGCCUGCUUUCGCCGCCGAUGUGAAAGUGGAGGGGAAAGCUACGUUGGCGACGGAUGUGGAUCGUGAAGGGGGAGAUACGGCGGUGAGCGACCCGCUCUACGCGAACGAGUCAGCUGGUAUGGUUGGUGCCGAAGGCCACGGAGAUGAGCCCGCGGAGGGCCUGGAGGCGGUGAAUGGUGAGGAGGAGAUGCUAGAAGCAGGAGCUCGUGAUCUGCUCACUGAGACGGAGAAGAAUCCGGUUCUUGUGGUACAUGUGCCUGCUGCUGCUGCUGGUGGUGGUUCUGCCAUUCCUGAACAUGCUGAAGCCGGUAAGGAGACUGCUCAGAGCCCUGUGCUUGUAGGCGUGCUGCAUAUUGAUGGCACCGUUUUUACUCAUCAACAUCUUUAAUUAUAUCCCUAUUCCAUUUCAGAAUCUAACAAAGUUGAAGAUCAUGUAAACGUGGAGCCUGGGACAAAGAAUAAUGAAAGUGAUAAUGGCAUAGCUCAUUUUGAUAAGGAAAUACAGAACAAUGUGCCUGAUGACAUAGAGGAAAGCUCCAAGGAACAUGAAGGUGAUGGAGCACCUGUAGUUGACCAGACAAAUAAUGCAUCUGAAAUGCUCCCACAAACCGGAGAGCAGUUUCCUGAUGUUGAAAAUAGCACGGACAGCAACCUAGAGGCUGCUAGUCUGGGUAGUGUGGAUCAGGGUGCUAGAUACUGCCUGCCUCCUCAUGAUAAAGGCGGGUUUCAAGUUGCUGAUCUUGUCUGGGGUAAAGUGAAAAGUCAUCCUUGGUGGCCUGGUGAAAUUUUUGAUCCAUCAGAUGCAUCUGAAUUGGCUCUGAAACAUCAGAAAAAGGGCAGCCACUUGGUAGCUUAUUUUGGUGACAACACUUUUGCGUGGUGCGAUGAAUCCCAGUUGAAGCCUUUUGUGACAAAUUAUUCACAAAUGGAGAAACAGAGCAGUUCAGAUGCCUUUGUUGGGUCAGUUAAUAAUGCACUUGAAGAACUGUCAAGGCGGAUACUGUCAGGUAUGAGCUGCUCUUGUUUGCCAGAAGAGCUUGCUGAUAAUGGCAUGUCCUAUACAGUUGAUAAUGCUGGGCUCAAGGAUGGAGUUACUUGCUCUGCAGUUAAUCGGCCUGAAAUCUUAAACUGUUUCAGUCCAGAAAACCUUCUUCAUUAUAUUAAGGAGUUAGCUCUAUUUCCUGGCCAAGGAGGUGAUCUGUUGGAGUUAGUUAUAGCAUGUUCUCAACUUACUUCUUUCUAUCGAUCUAAGGGAUGUCCUGAACUUGCAUCAUUUCAAACUGGCGAUGCGUGGGUUGAGGAUGGUCUGGAUUGUACAGACACUUUGUCCACCCAGAAUGUAAUGGUUGAGGAACCUGUGAUUAAUGAAGUGCAUCCUACUCAAGAUAAGCCCAAAAGGGGCAGGGGGAGACCUCGGAAACAAAAACCUGGUGGUGACCAGGUGGUGAUGGAGAAAAGGAGCAUAUCUAAUCAGGUCAAUGAUACUAGCUACAAUGAGAAACAAGUGGGUAUGGACUUUGAUAACUAUGGCAACCUACAGAACAAGAACAAAAGAAACUUUGAAUCAUUUGAAGAUUCAGAGAAGUCAUCAGCUCCAACUGGUGGUAGUUCUUUCAAGAUUGGUGAGUGUAUUCGGCGAGCUGCAAGCCAGCUGACAGGAUCUCCGUCCAUUAUGAAGGCUCAGAAUGCUGCUGAAGGAGAGAAUGGGGAAUUUGAUAUCUUUAGUGAUGAUGCUGGUGAUGAACUUACUGUAGAGAAACGAGCAAAAAGGAGAAGUCUGCACAGGAAUCACACUGCAGAUCCCAAGGAAUUACUAUCACAGCUAUGCUUGGUUGCAACAGAGCCAAUGAAUGGAUAUAAUUUCUCAGUAAUGAUAAUCAGUUACUUCAGUGAUUACAGAAACUAUAUUGUUUCUACUACUACUGAAGCAAACAUCGUUGAUAAAGGUACAUCUAGGAGAGGGAGGAAGAGAAAAGAAGUUUUACCUUCUCCUGAUGUAGAGACAACAGAUCAUAUGCAGGACUCGUAUUGGUCCGGAUUGAGCUUGCAUAAUCACCCAAUCCAUGACCUCAGAAAAGAGAGUCCCACUACAAGGCCAAGACGUAGGCGGAGAUCCUCAAGUCAUGCAUAUGUACCUUUGUCAGAACUUGGGGAGCCAGUACCUAAAAAACAGAUACAAGUGAUGGAAAGAUCUAUCAUCCAUGUUGACGAGAAGAUGAUUGAUGAGUUGAAGCCCACUGCACUUGUUUUGAGCUUUGCCAGGUCAGCUUCUAUUCCUUCAGAAUUGGAUCUUGUUAAGAUGUUCAGUCGCUUUGGUCCACUGAAAGAAAGGGAGGCAGAAGUACACAGGGAAACAAAUACUGUUAAAGUUGUCUUCAAGAAACGUGCCGAUGCUGAAAGGGCUUUUAGCGCUGCUGGCAAGUAUGGCACUUUUGGACCUUCGCUUCGAAGUUACCGUCUUGUCAGUAUGCCAUUUUCUCUAGAGACACAGUCAGCAAACAAUCCUGUGAAACAUCCUGAAAAUCAUGGCAUGGAGAUUCCAGGUAAACAUUCUUACAAUUUAUGUGUCCAUGCAUAGUACUUCGGUUUAAAUUUUUUCGAAAUAUGGGGCGUGUUAGUUAAUUAGGAUUUAGAAGUAUCUUCAUAAAUUUUGACCAACAUUACUCUAAUUAUAUUCAUGAUUAGGACAUGGUAUCAAAUUAUCAAUGGAUUCACAUUCCACAUAUAGUUCAACGCAAGUUGGUUAAUUGAUAGUCAAAAAAUAUUCUACAUACCUUUUUUUUUUUAAUUUUGAGUCCUAAUACACCUUAGGUUUUUUUUUUGGAAAGCGCAGGAGAGCUGCGUUUCAUUGAUCAAUGAGAGAAAGAAGGCCCCCAUACAACCCCAAAGCUCUCAUAACGGGGGCCAUGUAUGAGAGAAGGGAACACACACCUCUAGGACAACAGAAAGAAAAAACACACCUGAACCGACCCUAACCAGGAACUAAUUAGUUCCACAAAUGCCUAAGGCUUGGAGAUUUUUGGCUCCAGCCAGGCACCACAAGCUGUGCUCAUCCCUAAAAUUAAACAAAAUCAGACUAAUAGAGGGAGGUUCAGCCUUAAAAAAUACAAUCAUUUAUAUGCUUCCAUAAAUCCAUAUACUCCAGGCUCCUAAGAUGAUCAGGGAGUUUAGUCCUUUUCUUUUCUCCUUACUGAUCAGCGGUAGAGCCUACCGUCUGUAACCGGAAGGUCCCGGGUUCGAGCCCCAGCCUCUGCAUAUUAUGCGGGUAAGGCUUGGCGCUUAAAGAUACCCUUCCCCAGACCCUGCACAGUGCGGAAAGCCUACGGCACUGGGUACGCCCCUUUUUACUGUUUUUUCUCGAAACAUCUCUCCACCAUUCAGCAAAAUUAUUAUCUUGUUGUCUGGGGACCAAGGUUGAGAGGUUCAGAGUAGAGAACAGAGAACCAGACUUGUCUGGCAACCACACAAGAAGUUGACAGAUGUUGGAUGGUCUCAUCCUCUUGAUCACAGAGGGCACAUCUGUCUGGAUGAGGUAGGCCUCUUCUAGCAAGCCGAUCAGAAGUCCAACAUCUAUUUCUGACAGCCAGCCACAUAAACAUCUUGCAUUUGUUUGGCGCCCAUGUUUUCCAGAUUCUCUUCCGUGGUUCAAAGGUAGUAGAACCCUCAAAGAAGGCCCUGUAAGCUGAUUUUGAGGAGUAUGCCCCAUCUGAUUCCAGCUUCCAUAUGUGUCUAUCUUCCUGUUCAGUUAAGGUCACAUCCUGAAUAUGAUCCCAGAGUCUGAAAAAUUCUGCCAGGAAAUCCCACCUUGAAUGUCAUUGACCCAAUCAUUAUUAACCAGGGACUCAACAACAUAUUUUCUUCUUCUGGUUCUAACUAGGACAUUAGCAAAAAGCUGUAGAGUACCUUAGAAAAAUAAACGGAGAGAGUAUUUAAUAAAGCUACUCUACAGCUUCCACAAAAGUAAAUGCUUAUUUUAUUGCCAUUUGAUCAUGCCUUUUCUCUAGGUUCAAAUCAGUCCGAAGCUCCUAAGGAUUCCAUGGAAGUUGACCUGGUACAGAAAACAGAUGAAGUAGAAGUUGCAGGAGAACCGUCGUCUGAAGAAGUUGAGACUGUGAGGCAAAUAUCUCAAGUGCAAGCUGCAGACAGUACAUUUGUCAGUCAAGACAGGUUUGAUGAAGCUGGAAAUAUUGACGCUGAGCUAAUUGACCAUGUUAAUCAAAUUGGGAAAGCUGCACAAGCUGCAUCUGUAUCUGAAGAGUCACGAGAUGUUGAGCAAGUUUACACUCAAAAGGAAGUGUCAGCCAAUGAUCUACCCACAGAGACAGAAAUCUUAAAUUCUGAUGCUAUAACAAAAGAGUUGCCUCAGAAUGCUCCAGAUAAUGUGGAAACUGAUAUAGUCGAAGAUCCAAAACAGAGUCACAAUUCAAGAGAUAAUGCCGUAUUUGAAGCAGUCAUUGAAGCACCGAGUACUGCACAAGAUCAUACAGAGGAGGAUACUGGGAAUGCAGUUCCAGAAGAGCCCAUGGUAUCUCCUGAGUUACAAAGUCAAACCCCUGGUGAUCUACCCACAGAGACAGAAACCUUACAUUCUGAUGCUAUAUUAAAAAAGUUGCCUCAGAAUGCUCCAGAUAAUAUGCAAACUGAUAUAGCCGAGGAUCCAAAACAGAGUCACAAUUCAGGAGAUAAUGCCGUAUUUGAAGCAGUCACUGAAGCACCGAGUACUGCACAAGAUCAUACUGAGGAUGAUACUGGGAAUGAAGUUCCAGAAGAGCACAUGGUAUCUCUUGAGUUACAAAGUCAAACCCCUGGUGAUCUACCCACAGAGACAGAAACCUUACAUUCUGAUGCUAUAGUAAAAGAGUUGCCUCAUAAUGCUCCAGAUAAUAUGCAAACUGAUAUAGCCGAAGAUCCAAAACAGAGUCACAAUCCAGGAGGUAAUGCCGUAUUUGAUGCAGUCACUGAAGCAAGAAGUACUACACAAGAUCAUACUGAGGAUGAUACUGGGAAUGAAGUUCCAGAAGAGGACAUGGUAUCUCUUGAGUUACAAAGUCAAACCCCUGGUGAUCUACCCACAGAGACAGAAACCUUAUAUUCUGAUGCUAUAGUAAAAGAGUUGCCUCAUAAUGCUCCAGAUAAUCUGCAAACUGAUAUAGCCAGAGAUCCAAAACAGAGUCACAAUCUAGGAGAUAAUGCUGUAUUUGAAGCAGUCACUGAAGCACCAAGUACUGCACAAGAUCAUACUGAGGAUGAUACUGGGAAUGAAGUUCCAGAAGAGCACAUGGUAUCUCCUGAGUUACAAAGUCAAACCCCUGGUGAUCUACCCACAGAGACAGAAACCUUACAUUCUGAUGCUAUGAUAAAAGAGUUGCCUCAGAAUGCUCCAAAUAGUAUGCAAACUGACAUAGCUGAAGAUCCAAAACAGAGUCACAAUCCAGGAGAUAAUGCCGUAUUUGAAGCAGUCACUGAAGCACCAAGUACUGCACAAGAUCAUACUGAGGAUGAUACUGGUAAUAAAGUUCCAGAAGAGCACAUGGUAUCUCUUGAGUUACAAAGUCAAACCCCUGGUGAUCCACCCACAGAGACAGAAACCUUACAUUCUGAUGCUAUAGUAAAAGAGUUGCCUCAUAAUGCUCCAGAUAAUAUGCAAACUGAUAUAGCGGAAGAUCCAAAACAGAGUCACAAUCCAGGAGAUGCUGUAUUUGAAGCAGUCACUGAAGCACCAAGUACUGCACAAGAUCAUACUGAGGAUGAUACUGGGAAUGAAGUUCCAGAAGAGCACAUGGUAUCUCCUGAGUUACAAAGUCAAACCCCUGGUGAUCUACCCACAGAGACAGAAAC
rnacentral:lncRNA from 1 species